rnacentral:rRNA from 1 species
GACAGAGGGGGCAAGCGUUGCUCGGAAUCACUGGGCGUAAAGGGCGCGUAGGCGGGCUGGCAAGUCGGUCGUGAAAUCCUUCGGCUCAACCGAAGAACGUCGGCCGAUACUGCCGUUCUUGAGGGAUGCAGAGGAGAUUGGAAUUCCCGGUGUAGCGGUGAAAUGUGUAGAGAUCGGGAGGAACACCGGUGGCGAAGGCGACAGCCUGGACCGGUAUUGACGCUGAGGCGCGAAAGCCAGGGGAGCAAACGGG